rnacentral:rRNA from 1 species
CAGCAGCCGCGGUAAUACAGAGGGUGCGAGCGUUAAUCGGAUUUACUGGGCGUAAAGCGUGCGUAGGCGGCUUCUUAAGUCGGAUGUGAAAUCCCUGAGCUUAACUUAGGAAUUGCAUUCGAUACUGGGAAGCUAGAGUAUGGGAGAGGAUGGUAGAAUUCCAGGUGUAGCGGUGAAAUGCGUAGAGAUCUGGAGGAAUACCGAUGGCGAAGGCAGCCAUCUGGCCUAAUACUGACGCUGAGGUACGAAAGCAUGGGGAGCAAACAGGAUUAGAUACCCGCGUAGUCCCUGUAUCUUAUAC